rnacentral:rRNA from 1 species
GAUGAACGCUGGCGGCGUGCCUAAUACAUGCAAGUCGAGCGAACGGACGAGAAGCUUGCUUUUCUGAUGUUAGCGGCGGACGGGUGAGUAACACGUGGAUAACCUACCUAUAAGACUGGGAUAACUUCGGGAAACCGGAGCUAAUACCGGAUAAUAUUCUGAACCGCAUGGUUCAAAAGUGAAAGACGGUCUUGCUGUCACUUAUAGAUGGAUCCGCGCUGCAUUAGAUAGUUGUUAAGGUAACGGCCUACCAAGGCAAGGAUGCAUAGCCGAACUGAGAGGGUGAUAGGCCACCCUGGAGCUGAGCCACGGACAAGACGCCUACGGGAGGCAGCAGUCGGGAAUCUUCGGCAGUGGGCGAAAGCCUGACGGAGCAACGCCGCGUGAGUGAUGGAGGUCUUCGGAUCGUAAAACUCUGUUAUUAGGGAAGAACAUAUGUGUAAGUAAAUGUGCACAGCUUGACGGUACCUAAUCAGAAAGCAACGGCUAACUACGUG